rnacentral:rRNA from 1 species
AGAGUUUGAUCCUGGCUCAGAACGAACGCUGGCGGCGUGCCUAACACAUGCAAGUCGAACGAGAAAGUCCCUUCGGGGUGAGUAGAGCGGCGCACGGGUGAGUAACACGUAGGUAAUCUACCCUUCAAUCUGGAAUAACUCUUCGAAAGAAGAGCUAAUACCGGAGAGACCACGAGGACAUCAGUUCUUGGGGUUAAAGGCGGGCUUCGGUCUGUCGUUGAAGGACGAGCCUGCGGUCUAUUAGCUUGUUGGUGGGGUAACGGCCUACCAAGGCGGUGAUGGAUAUCUGGUCUGAGAGGAUGAUCAGACGCACUGGAACUGAGACACGGUCCAGACUCCUACGGGAGGCAGCAGUGGGGAAUUUUGCACAAUGGGCGCAAGCCUGAUGCAGCAAUGCCGCGUGGGUGAAGAAGGCCUUAGGGUUGUAAAUGCCCUGUCGGCAGGGACAAACGUCCAGAUGGUUCAUACCCAUUUGGAGUGAUGUACCUGCAAAGGAAGAGGCGCUAACU